ACGAACGCUGGCGGCGUGCUUAACACAUGCAAGUCGAACGGAAAGGCCCUGCUUUUGUGGGGUGCUCGAGUGGCGAACGGGUGAGUAACACGUGAGUAACCUGCCCUUGACUUUGGGAUAACUUCAGGAAACUGGGGCUAAUACCGGAUAGGAGCUCCUGCUGCAUGGUGGGGGUUGGAAAGUUUCGGCGGUUGGGGAUGGACUCGCGGCUUAUCAGCUUGUUGGUGGGGUAGUGGCUUACCAAGGCUUUGACGGGUAGCCGGCCUGAGAGGGUGACCGGCCACAUUGGGACUGAGAUACGGCCCAGACUCCUACGAGAGGCAGCAGUGGGGAAUAUUGCACAAUGGGCGGAAGCCUGAUGCAGCAACGCCGCGUGCGGGAUGACGGCCUUCGGGUUGUAAACCGCUUUCGCCUGUGACGAAGCGUGAGUGACGGUAAUGGGUAAAGAAGCACCGGCUAACUACGUGCCAGCAGCCGCGGUGAUACGUAGGGUGCGAGCGUUGUCCGGAUUUAUUGGGCGUAAAGGGCUCGUAGGUGGUUGAUCGCGUCGGAAGUGUAAUCUUGGGGCUUAACCCUGAGCGUGCUUUCGAUACGGGUUGACUUGAGGAAGGUAGGGGAGAAUGGAAUUCCUGGUGGAGCGGUGGAAUGCGCAGAUAUCAGGAGGAACACCAGUGGCGAAGGCGGUUCUCUGGGCCUUUCCUGACGCUGAGGAGCGAAAGCGUGGGGAGCGAACAGGCUUAGAUACCCUGGUAGUCCACGCUGUAAACGGUGGGUACUAGGUGUGGGGUCCAUUCCACGGGUUCCGUGCCGUAGCUAACGCUUUAAGUACCCCGCCUGGGGAGUACGGCCGCAAGGCUAAAACUCAAAGGAAUUGACGGGGCCCCGCACAAGCGGCGGAGCAUGCGGAUUAAUUCGAUGCAACGCGUAGAACCUUACCUGGGUUUGACAUGGAUCGGGAGUGCUCAGAGAUGGGUGUGCCUCUUUUGGGGUCGGUUCACAGGUGGUGCAUGCCUGUCGUCAGCUCGUGUCGUGAGAUGUUGGGUUAAGUCCCGCAACGAGCGCAACCCUUGUUCACUGUUGCCAGCACGUUAUGGUGGGGACUCAGUGGAGACCGCCGGGGUCAACUCGGAGGAAGGUGGGGAUGACGUCAAGUCCUCAUGCCCCUUAUGUCCAGGGCUUCACGCAUGCUACAAUGGCUGGUACAGAGAGUGGCGAGCCUGUGAGGGUGAGCGAAUCUCGGAAAGCCGGUCUCAGUUCGGAUUGGGGUCUGCAACUCGACCUCAUGAAGUCGGAGUCGCUAGUAAUCGCAGAUCAGCAACGCUGCGGUGAAAACGUUCCCGGG
rnacentral:rRNA from 1 species